rnacentral:lncRNA from 1 species
GAGCCUGCGGGGAGCGCGGCGGCACUGCGCGGGCUCCGGAGCUCUGGGCGUGCGCGCUGCGCUCUGGCGGAGAGCGCGCCCCGCUCCGCUUUUAUUUCCCCGUGGCGGACCACGUUGAGAACAACAACAGCCUGGGCCCAGUCCAGCGCCAACUUGUGCUUCUUGGAGCGCCUUCCGCGGCCACUGGCUCCUCCGCCCGCGGCUCCCGGGCGCGGCUGCACCCUCAGCAGUGUGCCCUGGACAGCAUCCGAGCCCGCUGCGCUGCGCAGAGGCGGCCUGCGCCUAGGACGGGCUCAGCGGAGCGGCGCAGAGCUACCAGGAGCCCGCUGCUGCUGCUGCUGCGUACCCUGCGUGCUGGAAUGCCAUGCUGCCCUCAGGCUCAGGCAGAAGCUUCAAUCAGGACAGAUGUUGUUCACCAGACUGGUGUCUGUUGGUCCAGUCAAUCUGAGAAGAACUCAGCCUACACCCUAGAAUGUAGACCUCUGAAGGGGAAGUGCUCCGGGAAGCAAGCCAUGAUGCAGGGCAGGACCUCGGGAAGGGACAGAACUGCCAGGGCUCAACCCAAGAGACGGUGGGUUAGUGCUGGGCCACACUUGGGUGGGUGGGAAAGGAGGAGGGUCUGCUAACCUACAGGUACCACAACCCUGAAAGGAGCGCCUUCUAGAACAAAGGUAGAG